rnacentral:rRNA from 1 species
UACGUAGGUGGCAAGCGUUGUCCGGAUUUACUGGGUGUAAAGGGCGUGUAGGCGGAGAUGCAAGUCAGGAGUGAAAUCUAGGGGCUCAACCCCUAAACUGCUUUUGAAACUGUAUCCCUUGAGUAUCGGAGAGGCAGGCGGAAUUCCUAGUGUAGCGGUGAAAUGCGUAGAUAUUAGGAGGAACACCAGUGGCGAAGGCGGCCUGCUGGACGACAACUGACGCUGAGGCGCGAAAGCGUGGGGAGCAAACAGG